UGGGGAAUAUUGGACAAUGGGCGAAAGCCUGAUCCAGCGACGCCGCGUGGGUGAAGAAGGCCUGCGGGUUGUAAAGCCCUUUCGGUGGGGAAGAAAAGCCUCGAGCUAAUACCUCGGGGUCUUGACGUAACCCAUAGAAGAAGCACCGGCUAACUCUGUGCCAGCAGCCGCGGUAAUACAGAGGGUGCGAGCGUUAAUCGGAAUUACUGGGCGUAAAGCGCGCGUAGGCGGCUUUGCAAGUCGGAUGUGAAAUCCCCGGGCUUAACCUGGGAACUGCAUUCGAGACUGCAUUGCUAGAGUAUGGGAGAGGGAAGUGGAAUUUCAGGUGUAGCGGUGAAAUGCGUAGAUAUCUGAAGGAACAUCAGUGGCGAAAGCGACUUCCUGGACCAAUACUGACGCUCAUGUGCGAAAGCGUGGGGAGCAAACAGG
rnacentral:rRNA from 1 species